rnacentral:lncRNA from 1 species
CUCUGAAACUGGUACUCACUCUGGAAGUGUCAAGCCUGUGAGAUUGCUCAGUGGGUAAAGGUGCGUGCUACCAACCCUGAGGAUCAGAGUCGGAUCUCCAAGGCUCACAUGGUACGGUGAAAUGAGAGACAACCCUGGACAAGGAACAGUAGGACAGUCACAGUGCCUAAGCCAAAGGGCUAUGUAAGUGGAGACUCAGAGUGAAGACACUGGAGAGACCCUGACAUCCUUAUUCUGACUCUUCCCUGGGUAAACAAUUUCUCAUCACAAAUAGUCGAAUGAACAAGCAAAUAAAUCAACAAAUAAAAAUGAAAACCAUACAGAAAAGCACCCAUGGAGACCCCUGGUUAUUUUGGAGGGAUAAAUAAAGGAAGUAGGGAAUGGACAAUGAAAAUCGGGUUUGCUCUGCCCUGCCCCAGUGUCCUCUCGAUGCAUUGUAUUCCGUUCUCUUUCUUUCUGAGGGACGCCCUGCUCUUCCAGCUUUUUUCCUUAGGUGAGUCCAUUCAAUAAUGACAUUAAACCAAAGCCAAAGAAAAAUAACUUUACCUAAAAAUACGGAUGAAGAACCGAA